GAAUCACUCCGUCACUCCAUCAAACUAAGAAAACGAUUUUCCUUUAUUUCGAUUAAUGGAAUCCGACAGCAAAAAAUCAUAAUGGUAAAGAAGAUCAGUAAAGCAAUUUCAACCACUGAUACUAGUUCUAUUGGAUGACGGGGGGAAAAACAGAUGGUGAGAAAUACAAUCAAUUGAACACAGAAAUGGUUUUGAUCAUUUAUAUGAUAUAAUCCUCAUUCCGCUGUAAAUAAAAUGCCAGUAAAAUACAAAGAUAUAGCUUAUCCAAGAUCACCACCCUCAGCCAAAACCAAAUGCUCUAUCAAAUGGAGUUUUGACUACAUGUGAGUAAAAAGG